CAAGAAGCGUUAUCUAAAGUCUAAUAAGAACAAACUAUUUUCCCAAUUACAAUCUUCCGCUAAUUAAACUCAUUUUCUCCAGUUUCACGAAAACCCUAGAUUUUCUCUAAACGCGUAAACAUCCCAAUCUUUCACCGUCUUCAACCUUGUGUAGAUCCAUUCGACCUUCGUCUUCAACAUACAUCUUAAACCUUCAAUCAUUCACCGUCGUCGAUCCUUAAAAACCUCAUCUUAACCCUUCAACCUCUACUUGCUCCACUCACUACUAUUUCAAUCACGUCGUGUGACUUUAUUCAUUCUCUUUGUGUUGUCUCAACCAUCUAUGCGUCAGGGUUUCAUUUAAACCAUCCACUCCUCUAUUCAAUCGCCUUAAUUGUCUUUUGAUUAAUUUUGCGCGCUCUAUUUUACUUACUGUGCCACGAGACUUCAGGUUCUUGUGGUAUAGGUUCUUGUAAGACUUAAUUGCAAAUGUGUUGCUUAUUAUGUAGUGAUUUGUGUCUUUCAGUAAGACCUAAUUGGUAGUGUUUGAGUUGUACAAUAUGACAAUUUCAUAUAUUAAUUUGCAGCUAAACUUUAAUCUGAGGCUAAAAUUGAUAAUAUAUAUAUAUAUAUUUUUUUUUUGAGUUUUUGUCUUUAACUUUGUUCACAAUAUAAAUAUGAUAACUAGUCAAAACCAAAAAGUAUAGGGCAUAAAGAGCUUCAGAGAGUCGGCACAAGAAGCAUCAACUUCAACCUUUUAGAACUUUUAGAGAAGUAAUUAGAUAUGUGUUAGUUAUUAGUUUGAAAGAUAAUUGUACGUUGUAAUUGAUUUUUGUGUAUAUAGUUUAAAAAGUUUAUUAAUAAAUGGACUAUUAUAUAAA